rnacentral:lncRNA from 1 species
CGCUGCGCAUCUGAAAAAAAUUUUGAAUUUUCAGCGGUAUGUGACAGAUCCUAACACAUGGCUCUCUGGAGGAAGCACAAACUUACUCUACGCCAAAGUAAAGAAUAUUAUAACAAUGUUAAAUCAAAAAUUAUAAUUAUGAUAGUAAACAAAUUAACAUACAAUAUCAAAUUCAAUUCUUUAUAUGUACAACUCUAAAAAGCUUAACCUUAUACAAAGGAAGCAUAUGAUUCUACUUCGCAUAAUUGAGCGAAUACAACUGACCUUUCCUUGCAACCGAUCUUUAAAAUUUGCUAAAAUGAAUCCAACCCUCUUGAUGUGCUAGCCCAGUUCGUUGCGUCGGAUGACAAUCUUCUCACUC